ensembl:lncRNA
AAACAAGAACCAACGGUUUACGGGAGAGGUAGCCAGGUUCAUAAUGGAUAUGAGGAAGUUUUUUCAAAAACAGGAGCCACAUUCAGUCCAAAGAAAGAGAGAGGAAAGAGGGGAACCUGAGGAGAAAGUACAAGGUCAGGAAGAACCAGGUAAGGAAACAGACAGGGAAUAGUGACAGCAAAACAGAAACUGUUAAACUGGCAAAGAAAAAAAACAACAACUAAUUUUACUCAUAAAAUUAGUAAGUUGUGUUCUCCCUAUAUUAAAGCUGCUAUACAGAAUCUGCAAAACAAACUGGGUUGUCAGCCCUGGCACUGCAUUACCAUAUUGAAAUUCAGUCAGAGGAAGUCACGGUUGCCAAAAACUUUUUGAAGCUCAAGAGUGAGGCUGGUGCCAUUCCAGAUAUGUUAACAUUGUACAAUUUUCUGGAUAAUCAGAUCUUCCCCACACUGAAAACUGUUAUUCAGGUUGCCCUAACAAACCCAGUUAGUAGCUGUAGCUGUGAAAGGUCUUUUAGUGUCUUGAGUCAGCUCCAUACCUGGCUGAGAAGGACCAUGGGUCAAAGCAGACUACAGCACCUGGCUGUGAUGUCAGUUGAGAAAGAGAUGCUUGAGAGACUUGACCACCAAAAUGUGAUAGACAG